GUGGCUGGAGCAUGGUGGGGCUGUCGGAAGGUGAGGAGAGAGAGAGAGAGAGAGAGAGAAGAAUGGCUGGGGCCAGGUGUUUUCUCCUAGACCAGCAGGAUGAGAAUAGGAGAAGGACCAUUAUUCCUUUACACAGGUGGGAAAGACUGAGGCCCAGAGAGGGCAGUCAUGCGCUCAAGACCACACAGCCAGUCAGCACAGUCAGGGAUUGGAGCCAGGACUUUCCCUGCUGGGCCAAGGGAGGACAUGGGAGGAAGGAGGGGCUUGGAGGUACUUUUGUAAUUUCUUUACUCAAGGCCAAGAGGCCAUCAGCUAUUUGUAAAGAAAUGGGGGUGGGGGCUACUGUUAGAGAUGGGUGGGUAUUGAAAUCACUGGAACUCCCCAGGGCACUUGCACUCCUGCAAGCCUGUGUUUAUUUCUUUCUUCAAUUUGAAUGAUUUUUUUUCCUUCAAAAAUUCCCUGGUGCUCCCUCCGUAUUAUUAGGUAGCAAAUGGAUCUGCAGGUGUUUAAUGAGGUUGGAAAAUAAAGGAUCCAGAAGCCUUGACCAGGGUUCUCUUGCCUCCCGGGGAGGCCCCUCAGGCCAGGAACCAGGCCAGGUCUAGGGGAAGGGCCUCCCCGGCAAUGUUCUGACCAAACCAGCCCCUGGCAGUCCCACUGACCGGCCACUGGCUUGUAGCAACUUUGGACUAGCCACUUCCCUCCUGAGACCUUGGGCUCCUCCUCUGUAGCUUGAUGGGGUAACAAGGUGAGACUCAGUGUGUGUGGUAGGAUUAGAGACACCAAGGAGCAUCCUGGCAUUGCAGGCCGGAGGCCUGGUUUGAGCAAACUGGUGGUGGCCAAACCAACAGGGACCUGUGCAGGGGACAUUACUACCCCCAAAGUGGCUUAGAGGAAGUUGGCAGAGUGCGGCACCCCACCAGUGACUGUGAGGAGACAGGAGGGGCUCUGUCCUCUCUUGGAAAGGGCAGACGGUAUUCUGUUUGACCAGCAAGCCUACCGCGUGCCCAGGGCUUACACAUACCCUACAUUGACCCAUGGCGGCUUCUCUGCACUCCUAGGGGGAGCCGUCGGCUGCCCCAGAGGACAGAUGAGGAAACCAAGGCUUGGGAGGAGAAGCGGCGCAUCCUGUGGCACACAGUAGGUGUGACACAAGACAGCUGACUCUGGCUUCCAGGCUCUUCCCACAGAUCUGCAGAGCUUCUGCCCUCCCAGCCCCACCUGCCAGGACUAGGUCCUCUCCGCCGGCCCUGCAGCUGCGUUCUCUGCCUCUGCUCUGUGGACUGAUGCCUCACACGAGCUCCCUGGCCUCUGGCUUCUGCCUCCCCAUGCCCUCUCUUGUGAACAGUCCAUCAGGGCUGGGAGGAAAGCAGGAUGAAACCAGUUCCCAGCGAAGCAGCAUUCGCCAGCAUUUACUUCAUACCUCCCUUUAAUCAACUCACUUUUCUCUAAAAGCUUUAAAAA
rnacentral:lncRNA from 1 species